UUGUCAUCGGGCCGGUGGAUGAGCUGUCCGUUUUCUCUCUUCGAUGAAUGACGAUCGGCGGGAUCCGAGGCUGGUAUUACACGCAAUGAGCAACACCAAGUAAGUGUGCGAAAAAUCUUAGCUGAGUUGUGAAGUCUUUAUCACUGUGUGUGAUAAAGCGUGUAGUCACUGUGUGCAACUAUUCAAGUCUUUGCCACUGUGUGCGGCAAAGCACGCAUCCUCUGUGUGAGGUUGCGUUGAAAGUCUUUGCCACUGUGUGCGGCGAAGCACGCAUUCACUAUGUGAGACUGAGUUGAAAGUCUUCAUCACUGUGUGCGUUAAAGCGCGUGAUAUGUAAGUCCUUGCCACUGAGUGCGGCAAAGCGCGCAGCCACUGUGUGAGACUGCGUUGAGAAAAUAGGCCUAAUUUUUGUUGUUUGUGAGCGAGGAUAUUUGUUGUGUUGUGCUAAUGACUGCGGAGCAGGCGUGGUCUGGGACACGGUUGUUGUUGUUAUCAUGGGUUCCUAAGCAACCAAGAGUGUGUCCGAGCGUGACAGACAUUUAUGCUGGACUUCGCUCCUGGGAGCGCACAGUAUUU